GAUGAACGCUGGCGGCGUGCCUAAUACAUGCAAGUCGAGCGAACGGACGAGAAGCUUGCUUCUCUGAUGUUAGCGGCGGACGGGUGAGUAACACGUGGAUAACCUACCUAUAAGACUGGGAUCACUUCGGGAAACCGGAGCUAAUACCGGAUGAUAUUUUGAACCGCAUGGUUCAAAAGUGAAAGACGGUCUUGCUGUCACUUAUAGAUGGAUCCGCGCUGCAUUAGCUAGUUGGUAAGGUAACGGCUUACCAAGGCAACGAUGCAUAGCCGACCUGAGAGGGUGAUCGGCCACACUGGAACUGAGACACGGUCCAGACUCCUACGGGAGGCAGCAGUAGGGAAUCUUCCGCAAUGGGCGAAAGCCUGACGGAGCAACGCCGCGGGAGUGAUGAAGGUCUUCGGAUCGUAAAACUCUGUUAUUAGGGAAGAACAUAUGUGUAAGUAACUGAGCACAUCGUGACGGUACCUAAUCAGAAAGCCACGGCUAACUACGUG
rnacentral:rRNA from 1 species